UGAGUUUGAUUCUGGCUCAGGAUGAACGCUNGCGGCAGGCCUAACACAUGCAAGUCGAACGGUAACAUGAAAAAGCUUGCUUUUUUGAUGACGAGUGGCGCACGGGUGCGUAACGCGUAUACAAUCUGCCUUUUACAGGGGGAUAGCCUUUGGAAACGAAGAUUAAUACCCCAUGGUAUAUAGGAGUGGCAUCACUUUUAUAUUAAAGCUUCGGCGGUAAAAGAUGAGUAUGCGUUCUAUUAGCUAGUAGGUGUGGUAACGGCACACCUAGGCAACGAUAGAUAGGGGCCCUGAGAGGGGGAUCCCCCACACUGGUACUGAGACACGGACCAGACUCCUACGGGAGGCAGCAGUGAGGAAUAUUGGACAAUGGGCGAAAGCCUGAUCCAGCCAUGCCGCGUGCAGGAAGACUGCCCUAUGGGUUGUAAACUGCUUUUGUACGGGAAGAAACCCACCUACGUGUAGGUGGCUGACGGUACCGUAAGAAUCAGCAUCGGCUAACUCCGUGCCAGCAGCCGCGGUAAUACGGAGGAUGCAAGCGUUAUCCGGAAUCAUUGGGUUUAAAGGGUCC
rnacentral:rRNA from 1 species